rnacentral:lncRNA from 1 species
GGGGGAGAAAGGAGAAGGGUGAAGGCCGGGCUAGUAGUCGCUGCCCGCUGGGCAGCAUCUGGAGGCCCGUGCGGGAUGCAGGCGAGGGGGAUGGAGCGGCGCCGCUGGAGGAAGUGAGUUCACCCCAGAGGGAAGGGGAGGAAGGAGCCUGGGCCGUGCGCAUUGGCUUCCCAUGGGACCUGCAACUGUCUGGAAACAAAAAAAGAAGCCUACCAAAAGGGGAAAUUUAAAGGAGAGCAAGAAACCAUGAAGAGAGAGCCGAAAACGCGAAAGUAAAGAGUUGCCCAACUUAUUUAAAAGCAUGCGUAAUUUUGCCCGGGAGUUUCCGCAGCGUACUCUAACUUUUCUCCGCCUGCUUCCUUGGACCCAAUUUUCUUGUUCUUAUUCUGGAAGGUUUUUUUGUUUGUU